rnacentral:rRNA from 1 species
CCUACGGGAGGCAGCAGUAGGGAAUCUUUCACAAUGGGCGAAAGCCUGAUGGAGCAACGCCGCAUGCAGGAUGAAGGCCUUCGGGUUGUAAACUGCUUUUAUAAGCGAGAAAUAUGAUGGUAACUUAUGAAUAAGGAUCGGCUAACUACGUGCCAGCAGCCGCGGUCAUACGUAGGAUCCGAGCAUUAUCCGGAGUGACUGGGUGUAAAGAGUUGCGUAGGUGGCAUAAUAAGUAGCUAGUGAAAUCUGGUGGCUCAACCAUUCAGACUAUUAGCUAAACUGUUAAGCUCGAGACCGUUAGGGGUAACUGGAAUUUCUAGUGUAGGAGUGAAAUCCGUAGAUAUUAGAAGGAACACCAAUAGCGUAGGCAGGUUGCUGGGACGGUUCUGACACUAAGGCACGAAAGCGUAGGGAGCAAACGGGAUUAGAUACCCGAGUAGUC